CCUACGGGUGGCUGCAGUGGGGAAUAUUGCACAAUGGGCGCAAGCCUGAUGCAGCAAUGCCGCGUGUGUGAAGAAGGCCUGCGGGUUGUAAAGCACUUUUAUCAGGAAAGAAACUCCUAAGGUUAAUACCCUUAGGCUUGACGGUACCUGAAGAAUAAGCACCGGCUAACUCCGUGCCAGCAGCCGCGGUAAUACGGAGACCUCGAGCGUUACUCGGAUUUACUGGGCGUAAAGGGUGAGCAGGCGGCCAGGUGUGUUAGGUGUGAAAUCCCGGGGCUUAACCCCGGAACUGCGCCUAAAACUACCUGGCUAGAGUCUCGGAGAGGACAGUGGAAUUCUAGGUGUAGCGGUGAAAUGCGUAGAUAUCUAGAGGAACACCAGUGGCGAAGGCGACUGUCUGGACGAGUACUGACGCUCAAUCACGAAAGCGUGGGUAGCGA
rnacentral:rRNA from 1 species